rnacentral:rRNA from 1 species
GAUGAACGCUGGCGGCGUGCUUAACACAUGCAAGUCGAACGGAAAGGCUCCUGCUUGCAGGGGUACUCGAGUGGCGAACGGGUGAGUAACACGUGGGUGAUCUGCCCUGCACUUCGGGAUAAGCCUUGGAAACUGGGUCUAAUACCGGAUAGGACCACAUUUUGGAUGGUGUGGUGGAAAGUUUUUCGGUGUGGGAUGAGCUCGCGGCCUAUCAGCUUGUUGGUGGGGUAAUGGCCUACCAAGGCGUCGACGGGUAGCCGGCCUGAGAGGGUGUACGGCCACAUUGGGACUGAGAUACGGCCCAGACUCCUACGGGAGGCAGCAGUGGGGAAUAUUGCACAAUGGGCGCAAGCCUGAUGCAGCGACGCCGCGUGGGGGAUGACGGCCUUCGGGUUGUAAACUCCUUUCGCUAGGGACGAAGCGCAAGUGACGGUACCUGGAGAAGAAGCACCGGCUAACUACGUG